UGGGUUAGUUGGGUGAUCGCGGGGAGAAUAUCGAAAGAUGCUCUCUGAGGAAAGUCCGAGCUUCGCAGAGCAGGAUGCUGGAUAACGUCCAGUGAGGGUAACCUUAAGGAUAGUGCCACAGAAAUAAACCGCCUAAAAUUUUUAGGUAAGGGUGCAAAGGUGCGGUAAGAGCGCACCAGCAAUCGGGCGACCGCUUGGCUAGGUAAACCCCAUCCGAAGCAAGACCGAAUAGGGAAGGGAUGAAGUUGCUCGCUGAUCUUCCGGGUAGGUUGCUGGAUAUUUUGGGCAAUCAAAAUACAAGAUAAAUGAUCACCUCGUGCUUUUUUAGGCAUAGGACAGAACUCGGCUUACAGACUAACCCCUUUC
rnacentral:RNase_P_RNA from 1 species